rnacentral:rRNA from 1 species
UACGUAGGGGGGCAAGCGUUGUCCGGAAUCAUUGGGCGUAAAGCGCGUGUAGGCGGCCCGAUAAGUCCGCUGUGAAAGUCCAGGGCUCAACCCUGGGAUGCCGGUGGAUACUGUCGGGCUCGAGUCCGGAAGAGGAGUGUGGAAAUUCCUGGUGUAGCGGUGAAAUGCGCAGAUAUCAGGAGGAACACCAAUGGCGAAGGCAGCACUCUGGGACGUGACUGACGCUGAGACGCGAAAGCGUGGGGAGCAAACAGG